rnacentral:hammerhead_ribozyme from 1 species
AUCUAGCUGAUGAGCUCAAAAUAAGACGAAACGCGCGUUUUAGAU